rnacentral:rRNA from 1 species
CCCUUAGAUGUCCUGGGCUGCACGCGCGCAACACUGACGAACUCAACGAGCUUAUCACCUUGGCAGAGAUGUCUGGGUAAUCUUUUGAAAGUUCGUCGUGCUGGGGAUAGAUGAUUGUAAUUAUUCGUCUUGAACGAGGAAUUCCUAGUAAGUGUGAGUCAUCAGCUCGCGCUGAUUACGUCCCUGCCCUUUGUACACACCGCCCGUCGCUCCUACCGAUUGAAUGGUCCGGUGAGGUUCUCGGAUUUUUUCUGUUGUUUGGUUCGCUAAACGAUUGAAGAGAGAAGUUACCCAAACCUUACCAUUUAGAGGAAGGAGAAGUCGUAACA